GGCGACCCUGCGGCCAUCCCGGCCGGUCAGCAUACAGAGAGGCGACCCCGCGGCCAUCCCGGCCGGUCAGCAUACAGAGAGGCGACCCUGCGGCCAUCCCGGCCGGUCAGCAUACAGAGAGGCGACCCUGCGGCCAUCCCAGCUGGUCAGCAUACAGAGAGGCGACCCCGCGGACAUCCCGGCCAGUCAGCAUACAGAGAGGCGACCCCGCGGCCAUCCCGGCCGGUCAGCAUACAGAGAGGCGACCCUGCGGCCAUCAUGGCAAGUCAUUGCAGUGAUCCCAGCCGGUCUCUGUACAGAUUGGUCACGG